rnacentral:rRNA from 1 species
ACAGCAGUCGCCACGGGAAUACAGAGGGUGCGAGCGUUAAUCGGAUUUACUGGGCGUAAAGCGUGCGUAGGCGGCUUCUUAAGUCGGAUGUGAAAUCCCUGAGCUUAACUUAGGAAUUGCAUUCGAUACUGGGAAGCUAGAGUAUGGGAGAGGAUGGUAGAAUUCCAGGUGUAGCGGUGAAAUGCGUAGAGAUCUGGAGGAAUACCGAUGGCGAAGGCAGCCAUCUGGCCUAAUACUGACGCUGAGGUACGAAAGCAUGGGGAGCAAACAGGAUUAGAUACCCGCGUAGUCCCUGUCUCUUAUAA